GACGAACGCUGGCGGCGUGCCUAAUACAUGCAAGUGGGACGCAAGGGAACACACUGUGCCUGCACACCGUGUUUUCUUGAGUCGCGAACGGGUGAGUAACGCGUAGGUAACCUGCCUAUUAGCGGGGGAUAACUAUUGGAAACGAUAGCUAAUACCGCAUAAUAUUAAUUAUUGCAUGAUAAUUGAUUGAAAGAUGCAAGCGCAUCACUAGUAGAUGGACCUGCGUUGUAUUAGCUAGUUGGUAAGGUAAGAGCUUACCAAGGCGACGAUACAUAGCCGACCUGAGAGGGUGAUCGGCCACACUGGGACUGAGACACGGCCCAGACUCCUACGGGAGGCAGCAGUAGGGAAUCUUCGGCAAUGGACGAAAGUCUGACCGAGCAACGCCGCGUGAGUGAAGAAGGUUUUCGGAUCGUAAAGCUCUGUUGUAAGUCAAGAACGUGCGUGAGAG
rnacentral:rRNA from 1 species